ensembl:lncRNA
CCCACUCCAGUACUCUUGCCUGGAGAAUCCCAUGGAUGGAGGAGCCUGGUGGGCUGCAGUUCAUGGGGUCACUAAGAGUCGGACAUGACUGAGCGACUUCACUUUCACUUUUCACUUUCAUGCAUUGGAGAAGGAAAUGGCAACCUACUCUAGUGUUCUUGCCUGGAAAAUCCCAGGGACAGAGGAGCCUGUUGGGUGCCAUCUAUGGGGUCACACAGAGUCGGACACGACUGAUGUGACUUAGCAGCAUAUAUAUAAAGAGAGAGAGAGGUGGAGCUAGUGGUAAAAAACUCACCUGCCAAAUAGGAGACCUAAGAGAUGUGGGUUUCAUCCCUUGGUGAGGAAGAUCCCCUGGAGAAGGAAAUGGCAACCUACUCCAAUAUUCUUGCUUGAAAAGUCCCAUGGACAGAGGAGCCUGGUGGGCUACAAUCCAUGGGGUUGAAAAGAGUUGGACACAACUGAAGUGACUUAGCACAUAUGUAUCCCUGUUGAUUAUCUAUUUAAAAUAUAGUAGUGUGUACAUGUCAAUCCCAAACUCCCUCUUCCUCCCAUCCUUUCCCUCCUGGAGGCCAUAAGGGAACUAGAACAUUUGUGAUGGGAAAGAAAAGAGGGGCCUGGCCACAGCCUGAUAGUAGGUUUUACAUAGGAAUUGAUGUACAUAGGAAUGUGAUGGUAGCUCCUAUGCUGUCUCUGGGAAAGGCUGACAGAGGAAACGGAUUGAAAAGUACAGCAACAGGUAUUGAGUACAAUGAAAUAUGUAUUUUCCACAUCAAGAAACUGUUUAAUGCUGAAUUGAGUUUCAUAGAGAGGAAAGUUUAGAAUCUCCUUCAGUGAACAUCUUUAAAAUGGGAUAAAUACAAACUUGUCUAGGGUGCUUGAGGAGCCAUUUCUGCAGGUAGAGACUCAGGCUUGAGAAUAUUUCAGGUCCUCCUUGGUCCCUCACUUUUUAAUCCAAAAUAGUUCCAAAGUGAUAUUUUACAGAUUCUUUACCAUCUGAGCCACCAGGGAAGCCCAAGAAUACUGCAGUGGGUAGCCUAACCCUUCUCCAGGGGAUCUUCCUGACCCAGGGAUUGAAUCUGGAUAUCCAGCCCUGCAAGCAGAUUCUUUACUGUCUGAUUCACCAGGGAAGCCUGGUGCAUUAGCCUCAGUCAAAUGUUAUCUUUUCUGGAAAACACUCACAUGCCUUGUUUGGAAACCCUUCGGAUAUAUGUCCAGGUAGGAAGCGUAGUCACUGGGCUUUGUAAAAUCAUGUUUCUAAUUCCAAGUAGUGGCAGAAGCACAGUCUUGGCUUCAAAGACCAAGGCUGGUUCUUGUGGAAUGAGAGACUGUGACUGAUGUGUUUGUACCUGCCCUUGUAAGGGGAGAAUGCCUGGACUCCCACCUGAACUCCGAAGGCAUGUGGUUUUAAUGCCGCUACCAGCAUCUUUAGAACUUGGCUUCCAGCUGGGUUCCUGUGUAGGAUAAAAAUCCUGAGGCGGCCUCCCUCCUCUCAAGUUUCUGGCAGGUGUGUGCUAGAUCCCGACUACUAAAUACUUUGUAAUUAGAAUGCCUUGGGCAAUCGCUGUCACCCUCCAUCUGUAAGGGAGGGAGGGCAGUGUUAGCAUGACUACGCUCCUCUCUUUAACAUCCCAUGCCUAUAGACCCUAGAGCAGCUGCCUGAAGGGCCUGCGUUUGAUGCAUGAACUAUAGGAAGACCUCAGAAAUGAGUCUAAUUAUGUCAGUAUCUGAAUGCUUUGUGGAAACAAGAUGUAUUAUUCAUGACCUCAACCGAACCAUCAUAUAAGAGAAAAGAGACCAACAUACAUACUGCCACUUUCUGAAUAGCACUUGUCAUUUUUUGUGUGUGUUUAUUAUGUUUAUUAUCUGCCUUCUCAACACCAGAAUGUAAGUUGCCAGAAGGCAAGACAUUUUGUUUUGUUUUGUUUUGGUUAGGGAUAUAGCCAUGGUUCCCCAAACAAUGCCUGGCACAAAGUUAGGGAUUGAGUGAACAAUUCAGUGAAUAUUAGCUUUUAAUUUAGCCAUGGAAUUAAGAUGGUAUAGGCAAACAAAAUGUGUUUACUUUUAUCUCGUGUAAUGAAGUGAGAGGAAUAUGUUAUUCCCAAACUGAGCACUGAGUAUAUUACCAGAUAAUCAAAUGUGAUCAAAAAAAGUGGAAUGAAAAAGGCAAUAUGCUAUGUCUCAAAAUGGUUGAUCUGAAUAACUAUAGAUUCCUCAAAGAGAAUUGAAUUUUAAGAUGCCCACCCUGGAGUAUGUGUGGAUUUUAGUGAUGAUUGCUUUGGACGAAUAAUUAAUGAAGAAAUAAAAUUAUAACAACAUGAUAUCACUUAUGAUUUCAUUGCUAACCUCAGCCUGUGAUUAUUUUCACAAUUAACACUGCCAUCUAUAACACUUAAUGAUUUUGAGCAAUAGUUGGAAGCUGGUGUGCUCACAGUAACUCCAAUUAAAAUUCUUUGGGAAUUGUUCAAUGGUCUAUCAUUCUUUACAGAUGCACUUCACAUAGAAUUUUGGUUUAUGACUUUGUUUUAUCCCCAAUUAAGGAGAAAAAAAUUUCUUAUUGCAAGUAAGAAUAAAUACCUUAAAUGUCCUAGUUUUUUAAAAAUGGCCCUUGCAUUAUCAAUAUUUUAACAUAAUUUUGGAUUUAAUCUGUUGUUAUCAGAAUUUUAGACUACUUAUUCAAAUAGUUUCUUGAAUAAAAUAGAUCUAAAAGCAAAUAGCCCCACUUUCUUACAAGUAUUAUACUUAUAGUCCCAUAAACAUAAACAAUGUCCUUUGUUUGACCUCAGAUUUCUUUUGUUUUCAAACAACAGACAUAUACAAUUUUAAUCCCUCAGCUUUAGCCUUCAUUUCUUUCAGUCCCUACCUCAUACACCACCUUACACACUUAGAGCAUAUAAGAAACACACAGACUCAAAGGCUCAGAAAGGCACAGGGAUUAUUUGAAAUACCAGAGAGAACUUGUAGUUCAAGGAGGCUAGUCAUUUUAAUUUUAAAAACAGGGCCAAGAGAUGAUGGGUCAAAGACUAUGCAGUAACUUUGUAUUAGAGAUGGAACUGAGGUUCCCUAUUCCUUGGCAAAGGUUAAUUUCAUUUCGCUUUUCCUUUUGUGACUUGCCUAGGCAUUUAGCCGAGCGUAUGAGGGGAGCUCAAUUAGUACUGCCUGAUUUGCACUGAACAUAGUCAGAAUGAAUUUCUUGACAUUUUAUAUGGAAUUUAAAAUAGUCAACUUACUUUUUAUGAGCAGUUGUAGAAACAUCCUUAGAGAACAUGCAUGAUUGGUGUAUUAAGUAUAGAUAGAGCGUGCUCAAGUGGCACAAAUAUUUCUUGCUAGAUAAUAGCUAUAGGAUAGAUAUCAAGGCAUUUUCCCAGCUAAUUAGUGAUGGUCCAGAGCAGUUACAGGAGAUAGAAGAUGGGGUCAGAGGGGGCCAUGAGAGAAACGGAUUAUCAGAAUCACAAACAGUCACCCUAGAAUUCCCAAGAAAGCCAUCGCAGCUUUAUAACAAAAAGAUGAGUAAUUUGAAUGAAGUUGUUGAGAACAGUUUUAGCAGGUACUCUUUUAAUAUCAGUGAGUUGACAUAUUUGCUUGCUAAAAAUCUGUUUUCUUAGAUUCUCUUCCAGACUGUUCUGGCAGUGCUAUAGUUUUGCAAUUUUAUUUCUUUGGGCUUUUAACCUACAAGUCUGUAUUUAAGCUCUUUUGAAAUUGAGCCAUUACUUGCAUUAUAUAUUGAUGUAUAUUAUAUCAAGUUUUAUAAAGCAAUGAGGGAUCUGAAGAUUUGUCCAGUGAUAUUUAUUUUUAAGAUAAGUGACAAAACCUUUAUUUCUUUUAGCUUUGCACAUGGAAAUUGCAAAUCGGGAAGGCUUUGUAUAAAGAGAUUUGUCCUAACUUUGGUUGCAUCUGUCUGAUUGACUGAGGGAAAGAGAAUAUCUCCCCCAGCUCCUCUGAAUCCCAAGGGUCUUCUCAGCUUGCAUCUAGGAGGUCAGAGUCUGAACUUGAUGGACCUAUUAUUACUUGGCUCAGGAGGCUGAUAAAGAAAGAGCAAGGUGAUCUGCUGUGGGUCUGGAAUACAGCUCAGGACAUUUCCCUUCACUUAAACAAAAUGUCACCCUAUUUGCUUUAAAUCAGACUGUCUUCAACAUCAUGCCAAAAAAAAAAAAACCCCAUGAAAUUUGACAGACUUUUUUUUUUUUUACAUUUCCUCUCUCUUAUUUUUGUAUUAAACUUGUUCAUUUAUAUUGGAGUCUAGCUGAUUAACAAUGUUAGCGUGAUAGUUUCAGGUGGACAGCAAAUGGACUCAGUCAUCCACGCAUAUGUAUCCCUUCUAACCCCCAAACUCCCCUCCCAUCCAGGCUGCCACAUAACAUUGAGCAGUGUUCCCUGCGCUAUACAGGAGGUCCUUGUUGGUUACCCAUUUAAAAUAUAGUAGUGUGUACUUGACAGACCUUUCAAUGUCCUCAUAACUGCUCAGAAUUAUUUUCUAAUAGUUUUAUUUUCUAUUAAUAAUUUGAAGUUCUAACGGUAUUUGAAAUAUAAGCUCACUUUUCAGGAAAUAGACGAUUUGGUAGAAUUUCUUCAUUGAACAAAUACUGUUUGCAUUUCUUUACUAUGAAGAGUAAAGAGAUUGAAAAGAAGGAGAUAAAGUCCUUACGGAGAUUUCUGUCUAUGCUGCUGGUAGUGUUUGCACAAUCAUGCUUAUGAAGAAAUGGACCUGAUAACGUUUAUAUUAACAUGCCUUCACUGACAACGAGAUAAAUUUUCAUGUAACAUUUGAAACUCCCCCAUGAGAGAGAACACAGUUCUUGGCAUAUGGGUCUCAUUCAUUUCUCCCUUUUAUUUCUUCCUCCCUUUGCCUUUCUUCCCCACUCGCUUGUAGCUUUAGCUCUUAAACCGUCUUUAAUUCCUUCUACUUUGUGCUCUUGGGAGGCCCUGCACUUUGAAAAUACUUGACAUUCAGGAAAAUACACUUUAUAUGUUAAAAAUCAAUGGUGACACAAUAUUUACAGCCCAAAGGCCAAACAUUUGGAGUUUCUUUAUAGGGAAUAAGUGCUCAGAGACCAGCUUUGUGCUACUAAGCUGUAGACAUCAAAGAAUAAUAAUACAGCAGUUUUCAACUCGAUGGCCCAGAUGGGCUUUAGCCUAGUGAAGUAUCGAGCUGUUGCACAGAUCUGUUUCAGCACACCAAUGUGGGAAUCCUUAUUUUAUCUUAAUUACUAAGGAGCCCUUCAUGUCUCAGAAGUCCCCAUGUUUUGUUUCAAAACUUCUAUCCGGAGAAUGAAUUUAUAGACUUGUGUCUAUAAAAGAAGGACAAUACUUUGAAUUAGGUUUUAAGACGAUUCAAAGUGCAGCCAGAAGGGGAAUUCUUUAACUCUUUUCUGCUGUCUCGCAAGGUUUCAAAGAAAGUUUAUGGUAGGGCAGUGAUUUAGUAGAAAGGAAAGAAACUCUGGUGGUUGGAGAUGCGCCUGCCACCUGGAAAGGUUAAUAUUCUUGGAUUAAGCGCACAUCUGCAACCACACACACACAAAGCAUUUAUUAGCUCAUUAGAAACAGUAUUAUCUGGGAAAGAGUGUCAUUGGGUUUGUAAAUUUGACCCCUCAUAGUUAUUAGUUGUCCUUUACUAAAUCAGCAGAAAGAGAGAGGGUGCUGAUAACUGUUACUCACAUAAUAGUAAUUAUCGGGCUCAGACAUGGUUAUUGAUGGCUCCUGUGUCCUUUGCUAUGUGUGUGCUCUUGAUAGAACUGAUGUGCAACUUCUGUUCUUGGCAGUGAACUUGCCGUGACCUGUCAUUUAUCAUCCGAUGAAGUUCUGCCUGGCCUAAUAGUUACAUUACGUAACAGAGCUUUCUGGUGGUGAAAGGAAUCCGCUCAAACCACUGAUGUGCUAGGGUUUCAGACAGCAUAUAGAGUGUUCAUUCUCUUUUGCUUGUAAAAGAGACUCAGAGGGGGCUCUUAAAGCACUUACUCUUAAGGCUUCACCUUGGAAAAAACUGUGGCAGAAGCCAGGCAGGACAAGUCAAGUUUUACUUGGGGAUGGUUCCAAGCCAAUGAUGGCAUCACUGACUCAAUGGACAUGAUUUUGAGCAAAUUCCGGGAGAUAGUGAAGGACAGGGAAGCCUGGCAUGCUGCAGUCCAUGGGGUUACAAACAGCUGGACAUGACUGAGCCACUGAACAACAACCAAGCCAAUGAAACAUGGAGGAAGGAACUGGGGGAGAGGAACCCCUCAGAGCACCAGAGAUAGAAUUAUCAGAGAAGGGAUCUAGAGAUUUCCUAGAACACCCUCCCCUCAAGUUGCUGGAUGAUGAGGUUAAUAGUCUCAAGGUCACACAUCUUAUUUACGCCUUUUCCCACUUUUGUCUUAGGAACAAAGGAUGGGAAGGACAUGUCUUAUGAUCAUCAUCUUUGGGAUUUCUAGGGUACAGUCUUCUUGUUGGCAACUGCCCUAAGCUCACUGUCAAGCAAAGAAGCAUGUCUUUUAGGUCUGUCUCUGAAAUUAUAGUGGAAAAAAUACUAGCAAGGAAGCAGCUGGUACUUGAGUGGGGUAGGGGAGAAUGCUUCCCAGAAAUUCAGAGCCUAUAGCAAUAGCAUACGAGGACGCUAGAUUGGCCCCAUCAAGAAUACACCAGCUAGUGUGUCCUGCUUCAUGUUAGAUGACAUCACAGAUGGUUCACCUAGUGUGAUGGUGUGUUUUGGAAAGAAUACAAUGUCACUAGAAGACUUACUGAAAUGAUGGGAAAAGAAAUUGCAUAAAGAUAGCUUUUUGGUUGGUGGCUGCAGCCUUUGAGGGCAAGACCUUGUAAUGUGUCCCUGGAUGAUGGUGUUAGGUUGUACUUCUGAACCUGUAGGAAGUUUUCAUAUCCCAGUAGACUUUACAUUAUAGAUCCCAAAGAUGGCAAGCUUUCACCAAUGGAAAUUAUGCCUGCUUGAUAUACACAAGCACAGAAGGGGCAGAGAAUUCACAGGCUGCUAUGCAGAGAAAAAGGCUUCUAGAACAGCCCUGAAGGUCAUCCUAAGGCAUCUCCUGAAGGCCCAACUGAGGAAUUUGGAAGGUUGGGAGAGGGAUGUUGAAGUAUCUAUCAGUUUAGUUGCAGUGGGUGGGCUUAGUCACUCCAUGACAUGUGGGGGGUCUUACUACUCCGAUCAGGGAUUGAACCCACAUCCCCUUGCAUUGCAAGGCAGAUUCUUAACCACUGGACCAUCAGGGGAGUCCCUCUUAGUUUUUAAUGGACCUAAAUUGUGUUUUUUUUACUUAUCAGUUCUCCUGCGGUCGCUGACAUUCCUUUUCCAUUCACAGUCAUAAUUUAUUUUUUGCUGUUUUGCUUCUUCAUUUUCUAACAUUACAACUUUUUGGUUUACAUAAUUUCCUCCUCCUAUUGGCCUCCUUUAAAUAUAUUUUUUUCUUCCCUCCAUGGGUCAUAGAAAGACUGAAGCAAAGACUUGAGAAGUAUUUAUUCACUUAUAGCAUCAGCAAUGUUUAUUAUUCUUUUUACUAGAGUGUUGUGUAGCCCAGAUUUGAACUAUACAGACAGCAACCUUACCCCAGGUUUCAACUAUGCAAACAGCAAACUUGCUCCAUGUGCAGAUUGAAAGUGAAGGUGAAAGUUACUCAGUCAUUUCCAACUCUUUGAAACACCAUGGACUGUACAGUCCAUGAUAUUCCCCAGACCAGAACACUGGAGCGGGUAGCCUUUCACUUCUCUGGAGAUCUUCCCAACCCAGAAAUCGAACCCAGGUCUCCUGCAUUGUGAGAGGAUUCUUUACCAGCUGAGCCACAAGGAAAGCUCAGUAGGUAGCCUAUCUCUUCUCCAGUGGAUCUUCCCCACCUAGGAAUUGAACCAGGGUCUCCUGCACUGCAGGCAGAUUCUUUACCAACUGAGCUAUCAGGGAAGCCUUGUGUGUAUACUAUCCUUUAAUAAAUAUAUUUUGCUGUCAGUGGUUUGAAGACUUCUUUGGUUAUUUUUAAAAGAAGCUAAGGAAUUUACGAGGAAGGUAUUUUCUCCUGAGACCUUACUUGAGAUCACCCAUACCUAGAGUUGAAAACACAGGGACAGUAGGCCUUCUUGGCUUCGUGGUCACCAUCAUCUCACGAUAUUAUUAGAAGACAGCAGGACUAAUUGUUGGACUUUUCAUCCAUUCCUCUCCUGUCUCCCCUUUUUAGCUCCUGAAGCCGCUGUUCCAUGAUACAUUGCUGGUGAAUAUUUAAUUGCUGUUCUCAGAAAAGUGUUUUGCAUUUUCACAUUACCCUCCUCCACCUCCUCAUGGUGAUGAAAGGCAAGAUGGAGAAUAUAUGUGUGCAUGGGUCUGUGAGUAUAGACUCUGGGUAUUUUCUUUAUAAUAAAAGAAAAUGUAUAGGUUAGAUUUCCUGUAAUGGAGAACUUCAUUGCCUGCUUCUUAAUGAGAGGUGCUGAUGGGAAGUGACCCCUGCUUUCGUAAACACACAGCAAUCUAAUUUGAACCUGUACGCCAAUUAUAAGCCUCUGUGGAGCAGUUUAUGGGGAAACAAUCACGUCACAAUAGGAUUAGAACACUAGGCCCCAGGACCACAGGGGGAGCCGGCCUGGGCUUAACUGCAGGUUUAUUCCUCUAAAUUGUCUGUAAACAGCAUUGAUGGCCACCUUGGUGCUACCUUGGUAUUGUUUCUAUAAAUCCUCCAUAGAAACAAUCUGAAAUGAAUAGACAACGAGUCAGUAAUGGCCCGUUAGUUCCCAACACAGUCGUGCCACUGAUCUGCCAUAUGAGUACCCCUCCCAGAGACAGAUCCUAGAUAAACACUCACAAAUGGCAGAGCAGACAGGCUUUAUGGUGACAAUCAGGUUGGAUAUUCUGAGGAGUCAAGGUAAACUGCUUUCUCCCUCAUCUUUCCUUGCAAAAAUCAGCUUCAAAAUUUGAGCCGUUUUAGUCUUAGUACAUUUCAGUUGUCAUGCACUUUUACACACUGUCUUACAUUUCAAGAUUAUUUUGGAAGUUUCCUGACCAUGCUAAUUGCCUCUAACCGAUAUGAAGAAAGCUGAAAUUGCCUUGUUUUGUUCACCAGGGCAGGUCUGAAGAGAAAGGUGAGAUGAGCAGAAGUCAAGCCAAUAAGAUGGAGAUUAACCACUGGGUUGCAACAGUGAGACUGAAGUAAUUAGGUGACAUACAGUGGAUAAUGAUUGUAACAUGCCAGGAUUGUGGGGUGAGUCAUGAGUGAGGGAGUGUUCAGUCACUCAGUCCUGUCUAACUCUUUGAGACCCCAAGGACUGCACCCCAUGAGGCUCCUCUGUCCAUGGGGUUUUCUGGCAAGAAUAUUGAAGUGGGUUACAAUUUCCUCCUCUAGAGGAUCUUUCUAACACAGGGAUCGAACCCACAUCUCCUGCAUAGCAGACAGAUUCUUUACUGCUGAGCCACCAGGGAAGCCCAGGCUCUACCAUAUCCUCUUAUAAAUUAAAACCAAAUAGAGUAAAAUUGUGCUGUUAAACACUAAAGAAGUGUUAGUUUUGUGUUCUAGCAUCAUAUAAAAUCAUUUACAGCUUACCUCACUUAUCCUUUGAUACAUAGAAAUAAAAGGUAAAUAUUUUCAUUUGCUCUGCUAAAUACCUUAAUAAUUUUCUCCAUUUGGGAAAUCUACAUGUUCUCAAUUUUUUUUUUUUCUCUGAAUGGGUCAAAAGGAUUCUGUAAAACGAAGCUACUAUUCCAUUUGUUAGUGGUAUAAAACCAUUCCUGUACUGCUUAUUUAGUGUUGUCUGUUGAAUGUAGAAAGUGAGAAUGGAUAUAAUGUGUUUGGGAAAAAAACCACACAUUAUAUAUCCCUAGGUUGGUGUCAUUUGGAUUUCUGAGGAAGGCAAACCUCUGCUCAGGUUAAGAUUUAGUGGUGUUCUACCACUCAGGCAGGGAAAAGAAUAAUACUUAUUCACUCAGAAAGAAAUAGCUGAGUGCCUUUCCUAUGCCAGUCACCAUGGUGGACAAAAUGCAGGCUCUUCCCAAAGGAUCAUACAGUCUAUUGACUAGGGAAGAGUUGAGAGCAUUUAGAUUAUUUAGAUUAAAAACACAAACUCACAUGAAAAGUAAACUUGCUAUUGAAAAGAAAAAGUAGAGUUUGUGUUGGAGUGAUCAUUCAUCUCAAAGAUUGUUGAACUUUUUAUUGCCUGAUUUAUAAACAUGUACAUCUUAGUCGUUUAAGGAUGCUAUAAUAAAAUACCAUAGACUGGGUGGCUUACAUACCAGAAAUUUACUUUCUCAGAGUUCUGGAUGGUAUAGGUUAAGGUCAGGGUGGCAGCAUGGUCAGUCUGGUGAGGGCUCUCUUCCUUAUUUGCAGAUGGCAGCCUUCUCAUUGUGUCUUCACAUGGCCUUUCCCCAGUGCAUGUAUGUGGAAUAAAAAUGAGACACUCUCUUUCUCUUCUUGUAAGACCACCAGUUCUAUCGGAUUAGGAAUCCAUGUUUAAAACCUCAUUCAACCUUGCAUGUGUGUGUGUAAAGCUGCUUGAGUCAUGUCCGACACUUUGUGACCUUGUGGGCCAUAGCCUGCCAGGCUCCUCUGUCCAUGGGAUUCUCCCAGCAAGAAUACUGGAGUGGGUUGCUGUACUCUCCUCCAGGGGAUCUUCCCAACCCAGGCAUUGUACCCAUAUCUCUUAUGUCUGUCUGGAUUGGUAGGCGGGUUCUUUACCACAAGCACCACCUGGGAAGCCCCACUGAACUUUAUCACCCCCUAAAAGCCCUUUCUAAAAGAGAUCAGUCCUGGGUGUUCAUUGGAAGGACUGAUGCUAAAGCUGAAACUUCAAUACUUUGGCCACCUCAUGCAAAGUGUUGACUCAUUGGAAAAGACUGAUGCUGGAAGGGACUGGGGGCCGGAGGAGAAGGGGACAACAGAGGAUGAGAUGGCUGGAUGGAAUCACCGACUCAAUGGACGUGAGUUUGGGUGAACUCCGGGAGCUGAUGGACAGGGAGGCCUGGCGUGCUGCGAUUCAUGGGGUUGCAAAGAGUCGGACACGACUGAGCGACUGAACUGAACUGAACUGAAAAGCACUUUCUUUAAAUACAGUCACAUUAGGGGAAAGGGCUUCAGCAAAUGGGUUUUAGGGAGAUAGAAUUCAGUCCAUAUCAAUGAAUUACUUAUUUCACAGUGUAGGUGUAAUUUAUUUCAGUUGCAGAGUCUCAAGCUGAAGCCAAUCGUUCAUGGAUUUCAGAAUAAGGAGACCAUUAUGUCCCAGAGUGGCACUCAGUUGAAGGUGGAAGAUCUGAAUAUGAGCUCAUGUUGAACCAUUCACUGGCUUUGUGAAGCUGGGCAUCAGUUGAAAUAGAGUUAAAACCCAACACAGUUAAAAUAGAGACAUCAGUCCUCUCACACACGUCUGUUUCUUCUUGAAAGUGGGAACAUUAUCUCAGCUGCUGUGGUAGAAAACCUCAGUUACAUUCACUCCACUUCCUUUUGUGAACCCUACACUCACUCAGUUGCCAUGUCCUAUUGGUUCUACACAUGAGAUCUCUUCCAUCCCCACCCUCGCUUUCCCUUUCUGUAAUACUACCUCUACUUUAUCACAGAUCAGUAUUAUCUCUGGUCAGGGAUUAUAUUCUGAAUGUUUGUGUCCCUGAACAACUUAGGUUGAAAUCCUAACCACCAAGGUGAUGAUAUUUGGAGGUGGAGGCUUCCCAGGUGACUCAGUGGUAAAGAAUCCAGCCAAUGCAGGAGCUGCAGGAGAUGCAGGUUCAAUCCCUGAGUCAGGAAGAUCCCCUGGAGGAGGAACUGGCAACCCACUGCAGUAUUCUUGCCAGGAUAAUCCCAUGGACAGAGGAGGCUGGCAGGCUAUACAGUCCAUGGGCUCACAAAGAGUCAGAUGCAAUUGAAGCUGUUGACCCCACAUUGUGCUUUAGGCAGGCGACUAGAUAGCGGGCAGAGACCUUAAGAAAUGGAUUAGUGCCCUUAUAAAAGAGGCCCCCCCCCCCAAAUUCUCUUGCCCUUUCUGUCAAAGUCUUCUAUGAACUGGGAAGUGAGCCCCCACCAGACACCAAGGUUUGCUGACCAAACUGAUCCUUGAGCUCCUCAAACUCCAGAACCACGAGAAAUAACUGUUUGCUGUUUAAGCCACCCAUUCUCUGGUAUUUUGUUAUGAAAGCCCAAAUUGACUAAGAUGACAGUUGAUAAUGGCUUCCUCGCUUUCUGCCAACUCUUACAUAUAGCAUUGACAAUGUCCUUCCCUAUAUCCACAGGUCCCCAGGGACAUAUAGGAAGAUGUGCAAACCUGGCACUGCAGACCUGCCAGGAGCUGUCUCCAACUCAAAUUACCCAGCUGGUCUCUCCCUCCUCUUCAUACUGCUAUUGUCCAGCAAACUGAACUCGUCACCCUUGGCAUACUGCCUUUACUCAUCCCCAAAGCUCCCAGGAUUUACCACUGUUCUUUUUCUCAUUCUAGUCAAUGUUCAAAAAUGCAUGUCAGUGCUAUAUUCUGGUCACUGACUUAGGAACUGAGGAUAUGUGAAGGGGCUGAGAUGUGGUUCUGGCUUUAGAGUUCAUUGUCUAGUGAAAUAGAGAUAGUCAUGUAAACCAAUAGUUACAGCUGAAUAUGGAAGAUAAGAGCUCAAAGCGAUAAUGCUUGUCGUACUCAUCUCUACAUAUCUUCAUUCAGCUCCUCCAGUUCUAGCUCAUAUGACACUUAAUCUCUUCUCCUCUUCUCUUAUUUCCAAAGCACUGUGUGUUUUGCUUGUGGUCUUUAUCACCUUCUCUCAUACUUUCAAUGUAUGUGUUUUCAUGUCUUGUUUUUCUCAAUUAGAAUUUAAGCUUGCAAGCAAUAUCCAUUCCACGUUAAGUUGUGUUUCCUCCACAGUUCCUAAUGUGCCCUUUUCUCUAGCACUCAGGGAAUCUCCUGACAAAAAUAAUUCCUAAGUUUGUGCAACUGCAAACUGAGACAGCAAAUCCUUUAAAUAAAACCACUUCCCUUGAAUAAUUUUGAAAACCUUGGUGAUUUUAUUAUAUUUUAGCUUACUUGUUUAGUGAAAGAAAAGCCUGAUCAGAUACUGAGGAACAUAGCAUUUCACAGUUAAUUUCAGAGGUUGAACAUGAUAUACAAAAAGCGUAUGCAAAACACUAAUUAUUAUUAAUAUGUUCAAAGCAUUUAAAAAUAGAUUUGCUUAUGAUACUCCAUGAACUGUUUCUGGAGAGUGUGUAAGAAAACAGAGUCUGAAGGCAAAGUCAUAUUCAUUAAAUAUAAAACAACAGGAAGUAUAACUUUUAACAAAUAUUUUCAACAUUAAAGAAAUACAAGCCCCAGGAGUUUUUGUGGUUUUACUUGCAAAUGUGAUUCAUUUUGUAUUUAAAUUAGAGUUUCCUUUUAUGUAAUCCUUUGCAGAAGGGGAAAAGGUUAAUCUAGACUCUAGGAAAGAAAUAUAAAAUUAUUGUUUCUUACUAGUUUCAUCAAUACUAUAAUAAUUGUAAAUACAAAUACAGUGAAUUGGCACUAUUUUUUUUGCAGAAAGACUUACUGUAUAUUCAACAUGUUUCCAUUUCAUUUAACUUACUGACAUGCCAUUGCAAGCAACUCCACAAAACAAUCACCUAUGUAAUUACUAUAGUUUCCACAAAUUGCCUUUAAUCUCUUCAGUGGCCAAAAGAAAAAGAGACAUACACAGUGAAUUUUGCAGCUCACAAAGUUAUUACAAAGCUAAGACAUGCUGAAAUUAGAAAAGUGGGACUGUAGAAAAAAAUAUUUAAAUGUAGACAAACCAUCACCCAUAAUCUUACUGCAUAUGUAUAUAUAUAAAGAUUUGAAUGUUGGCACAAUUCCUUCCAGUCCUUUUUCUAUGCAUUUUUAAGAAUUGCAUGAUGACUUUUGUCUCCCUUCUACUGUCUUUAACUUCCUCCAGUAUUAUUGGUAGUGUAUUGUGUAGAAUAGCAAGAGAUAUGGGCAUUCUGGAAAUUGAUGUUAAAAAAAACCACACAAUAUGAUCCGUUGGUCUUUCUCUCCCACCUCCUCAGACAUGCUGAUGUUCUCCAGACUUUUGUUCAACAGACGUCUGCUCAGAUCAGUAUAUGUGCGAGAUCCAGUGCCCUUUUCUAGAUCUUCAGUGAUAAAACAAUGUCCCUGCAUUCAGGAGUCUCUAAGAAUGGUCAAAAAUCAAAUGCUAUAGUGGGCACAUCCUGACCUAUAGAAGGUCAGGAUAUGGUAGAAUAAGGACGCAGAAGAAGAAAGGGUCAGAUACUCUUAAUUCUGGGUCACCUUUUGGUCUCAUGUGAUCUGAGCAGUCACCUCUUCCUAAUGUCAAAGCUCUUUUGCCAAUAUUUGUUUCCCACCUGAGGGAAACAGGUUACAGGAAAUGAUCUUCGUUAAAAUACGGAGGACCUAGAACCUCAGGCAUUUAUCUCUGGCACAUAAUUUUGUUUUACUGUAGGGCUAUUGUCCUUUUCUAAAAUUUAAGAGACAAAGUCCAUGAAGAGAGCAGUUUGAAUUAUUAGAUGGCAGUUAUCUUCAAACUGACGUCACCAACCCAAUGGACAUGAGUUUGAACAUGUGAAGGGCAGAGAUGCCUGGCAUGCUGCAGUUCCUGAAAGAGUUGGACAUGACUUAGCAACUGAACAACAAAAUCUUCAAAUAAAAUACACUCCAAAAAGUAAAAAAGAAAUGCUG